rnacentral:rRNA from 1 species
AUUGAACGCUGGCGGCAGGCCUAACACAUGCCAGUCGAGCGGAUGAAGGGAGCUUGCUCCUGGAUUCAGCGGCGGACGGGUGAGUAAUGCCUAGGAAUCUGCCUGGUAGUGGGGGAUAACGUCCGGAAACGGGCGCUAAUACCGCAUACGUCCUGAGGGAGAAAGUGGGGGAUCUUCGGACCUCACGCUAUCAGAUGAGCCUAGGUCGGAUUAGCUAGUUGGUGGGGUAAAGGCCUACCAAGGCGACGAUCCGUAACUGGUCUGAGAGGAUGAUCAGUCACACUGGAACUGAGACACGGUCCAGACUCCUACGGGAGGCAGCAGUGGGGAAUAUUGGGCAAUGGGCGAAAGCCUGAUACAGCCAUGCCGCGUGUGUGAAGAAGGUCUUCGGAUUGUAAAGCACUUUAAGUUGGGAGGAAGGGCAGUAAGUUAAUACCUUGCUGUUUUGACGGUACCAACAGAAUAAGCACCGGCUAACUUCGUG